rnacentral:lncRNA from 1 species
UGAAUAUCCCAACUCAUAAAAAUGGAAACAUGUUAAAACAGAGAAGAAAUCAGAAUAUAUACAAACAUAGUAAUGUGGUCACGUUUAGUUCAAGCUUGAUAGGAGCUAGCGCAGAAUAAAGUAAUGUUGAAGAUUCAAACUUAACAAUAAAAAAACGGACUUUAGUGAAACUUGACUCGCCGACUCGGCCACAAAACUAGAAAUCACAAACGAGCAAAAUUGACGGAGCUCAUCAAAAUUUCAGCCAAGCAGCAACAGUAGCAGCGAAUAGCAAACUUUCAAACUAAUUUAUCUUCCCUCGAACUCCUAUUUCACUUUGGCUUUUCUGAAAGUUUCCAUUCCCAGAUUUGACUUUGCAAAAAAAAUUAUAUUUUUUUUUAACUUUAGAGGGGCGGCUAAGUGAAGAAGUGUAGGGCUGUUAGGGUUUUUCAAUUUUGGGAAAGGUUCUUGUUUGUUCUGGUGUGUGUGUGUGUGCGUGUGUGUGUGUGCGCGCGCGCAUUAGUGAUGAAGGUGAGAGUUGAGAGUCGCCGUUUUUGGAUUUUUUAGAAAGGGGGAUGGGUUUUUGUUUGUUUUUUUUGUUGAAAAAGAGAGGAGAAUGGAGCCGUUGUUAGUGUUUUUAGGGAGGGAGUCUAUUUUCUCUGGGAAUUGGAGAUGGGGAUAACGGCUGAAGCUUUCAAAUGGGGAGAGGAUUUCAUUGUAGCAAUAGAGGGAAAAGAAAAAAAGAGGUGCCACUGGUGUGGUCUUCAAUGGGGGAGGUAGGGGAGGUCAUAUCUCUUCUUUGGUUUGGGGUGGGGGGGGAGGGGUGGAUCGUUUUUGUUCUCUUGAAGGGGAGGGGAUCCAAAAUUAGGUCUAGGAGUUUUUGUGGGAAGGGGGAAUCCGGUUGGGCUUGGGAUUUUGGGCCGUGAAAUUGGGCUAUAGAUUUUGCUUGGUCUAGUUAAGAAUGUUAACAACCAAAUCCUUCUUUUGUUUUAAUUGCUAAAUUAACCACUUUAGAUAACACACCUAAAUUGAAACUAAAUUUGUAAAAUUAGCGUGUUAACUAUCAUUAACCAAUUAUUUAACUAAAAAUGCAUGUAAAUUGACUAAAUUAUUAUUUUAUUAUAUUUUUUUGGUUGUGAUUUUCAUUUAUUAGUCUAACAAUUAAAGAGUCAUUAAUUCCUUAAAAUACAAAUUAAACCUAAGAUGGCAUGAAAUGAAAUUGUGACAAUUUUUUAUGAUUUUAAAAUAUUAAACAUGCAUGAAAAUGCAACUAAAUGAAUGCAAUCAAUUUAAAAGAAAAUCCUAAAAUUCCAUAAAUUCAAAAAUAAAUAGGAAAAAACUUUUUUUUUCUGCAGGAAUGUUUUUCUGUGAGGCAAAAAUUACGUGCUCACAGCUGUCCCUCUUUGCUUGAAAACACAAAGAGUUUUCGGCAAAGAUAAAAUGAGCAAUUACGAGCGAUUCUUUCCCAUUUGGAUAUUCCAUGGGAAGCAUAUGAAAUUUUUUUACCGAACCUUGCUUCGGAGGUUGCCUACAUAUCCUUGGCUAUAAAGAAAUCAGGUCAGUAUAGUUCUGAGAGUUUUGGUAGCUGGGACUACUGAAUAGCUGUGAUUUCACUGUUGUUGAUACUGUUACUGCUACUGAGCUCCUUAUUACACCAAAAUCAAAAUGAAAAACUAAACUAACUAAACCUAUCAGCUACGGGUUACAAGAUUCCUAUCUAUAAACCUUCUGAAGUUUGAUCUUGAGUCUUGGUUGGUUCUCUAUGCAGACUUUGAUUUGAAUCUUGAUGCUUGUUAGCAGCAAGUGUUGGUUCAUUCUUCUUCAACUUUUCAGAUCAAGGCGGGACAUGUAAAGUUUGUGACUUCAAUCAUGCCUUGAGCAGUCCACAUCUUUUCUUCACUUCUGCACUUUGAGUUCACUUCUUUUUCUUUUCUUCUGGAUUGAGACUUCUUCUUUUGGUCGUCUCGAACCUGGGCCUCGAGGUAAAACCUGCCCAGGCAACAAAACAAACAAACGAACAAAACUUUCCUGCCCCAGGUUUCGCUAGAAAAGUUUCAUGAGUUAUUGGUAACAAAACUCUAUACUACUUCAUUACUGAAAUAAAAGGUCGAGAUUGUGUAUCCUGGAAAAAGAGACUAGAGAGUGGUGACCCUAUGUCUAGAAUGAAAUCAACUAGGGAGUGGAGACCCUAUGUUGGAAAAGCGACUAGGGAGUAGAGAUCCUAUGUCUAAGAUAAAAUCAACUAGGGAUUGGAGACCCUAUGUUGGAAAAUCAUCAACUAGGGAAUGAUGACCCUAUGCUGGCAUCAACUUGGGAGUAGUGACCCUACAUUGGCAUCAAGUUAUGUUGGCAUCAGGUUAAGCUGGCAUCAACUAGGGAGUGGAGACCCUAUGUUGGCAUCAACUAGAGAUGGUGACCCUAUGUUGGCAUCAGGUUAUGUUGGCAUCAACUAGGGAGUGGAGACCCUAUGUUGGCAUCAACUAGGGAGUGGUGACCCUAUGUUGGCAUCAGGUUAUGCUGCAUCAGGUUUUGAUAACAUCAACUAAGGAAUGGAGACCCUAUGUUGGUAUCAACUAAGGAGUGAUGACCCUAUAUUGGCAUCAGGCUAUGCUGGCAUCAACUAAGGAGNGGAGACCCUAUGUUGUCAUCAACUAGGGAGUGGUGACCCUAUGUUGGCAUCAGGUUAUACUAGUAUCAGGCUAUGCUAGCAUUAACUAGGGAGUGGAGACCCUAUGUUGGCAUCAACUAAGGAGUGGUGACCCUAUGUUGGCAUCAGGUUAUGUUGGUAUCAACUAGGGAGGGGAGACCCUAUGUUGGCAUCAACUAGGGAGUGGUGACCCUAUGUUGGCAUCAGGUUAUGCUGGUAUCAGGUUAUGCUGGCAUCAACUAGGAAGUGUGACCCUAUAUUGGCAUCAACUAGGGAGUGGUGACCAUAUGUUGGCAUUAGGUUAUGCUGGCAUCAACUAGAGAGUGGAGACCCUAUGUUGGCAUCAACUAAGGAGUGGUGACCCUAUGUUGGCAUCAGGUUAUGCUGGCAUCAGGUUAUGUUGGUAUCAACUAGGGAGUGGUGACCCUAUGUUGGCAUCAACUAGGGAGUGGUGACCCUAUGUUAGCAUCAGAUUAUGCUAGCAUCACCCUAUGUUGGCAUCGACUAGGGAGUGGUGACCCUAUUUUUGCAACAGGUUAUGUUGGCACCAACUAGGGAGUGGUGACCAUAUGUUGGCAUCAACUAGGGAGUAGUGACCCUAUGUUGGCAUCAACUAGGGAGUGGUGACCCUAUGUUGGCAUUAGGUUAUGUUGGCAUCAACUAGGGAGUGGGAACCCUAUGUUGGCAUCAACUAGGAGUGGUAAACCUAUGUUGGAAAAGACGCAGCUAGGGAUUAGAGACCCUAUGCUACCAUGAUUUUGAACUUUUCUUCUUUUCUUUCUUUUCAUUUCAUUUUUUUCAUCAUCAUUUUCAUUUUUUUUAUUUAAUAAAAUGAGUAAAAAUGCAGGAAAGAAUUUGGAGAAGACUUCCUUUUUGGAUUGAUUAUUGUUGCAGAGCUAUUUUAGUCUCUACGUGAUUUCCUUUUAUUGCACCUGCUUCUUGCAAGGUUGCUUUGAAUUACACCUGUUUUUCUGUUUUUCAAACAAAGAACAAUUUGUCAGUUCGAAAUAGUGGUUCGUUUGUGGCCUUGGGCAUUUCAGUCACUUGAUCUCGGGUCUUUCAUCUGCAACUGGUCGAUUCCUGAAUACCGAUUGCAAUUCUAACCCUGGAGAACCUCUGGCUUUUCCAGACUUUGCCAUGAUGGAUGAUCGCGUGAGAUUCAACCUUUUUGACUUUAUUUUGCCUUUGUAGGCCUUUCACUUCUGACUUGUUUUGUCAUUUUUUUCCUCUUUUUUUUUUCAAUUUUUAACUUUGGAGCAUUGGGGAACAUUUUGCUCCUCAAACUUUGCUGCAACGGCUAGUCGCGUGGGACUUAACCUUUUCCAAUUUUAUUUCGCCUUCAUUGCCCUUUCAUUUCUGGCUUCUUUCUUCCAACUUUAAUUUCAGAGCAUUUGGGGUAUCUUGGCUUUUCAAACCCUGCCGAGAUGGUUAUCCACAUGGAACUCAAUCAUUUCAACUUCAUUUGCCUUUAUAGGCACUUCAAUUAGAUUUUCUCCUUCCAAGAGUUUUGAUUUCGAAGCAUCGGCCGCCAUGGCCAGUCGAGGUCGACUUGAUGCCCCUGAUGAGGCUGGGUGCCUUUUUGUGUAUUAGCUUGUAUCAAAGGAGAACCCUGUAAAUCAGUCUUACAAUCCUUUCUUUAUCUUAGUUUCGGAACAAAGUUAGGCCGAAAGGAAUUCAAAGAAAAAUAAACAAUGGAAAGGACAAUGAAUUUAAACAAAAGGUAUCCCUUUCGGGGAAACGACAGAAGGACUUAUCUGGAGUACAUGACAUGCCUUUAUGACUGGAUGUCUUAUUUGUGCAAACCGUCCGACUCUCAGAAAUUCAUCACAACCUUUGCCUCGAAAUCGAGAAACCUUGUACAGGACUAUGUCAGUGUCAGUGACUGAAGAUCCUCUUUUUCGAUCAGUGGUGCUCUUUGCGGGUUUUCACGAGAUGACCUCUCUCAUUUCUCUUCUCACCAUCGCCUUGUAGUGAUAUUUGCGAGUUUUCACUAACAAGACUUUCAUUUUAGUUUCUUUACUUACCAUCGUCUUACAGUGCCAGUGGGAGUUUUCAUCGAUAAGACUCUCUCAUUUCAUUUCUCUCAUUUGGUUGUAUCAGAUCCAAGUAUCUGUAUCCUCCAAUUCUUGAACAUUCUCGGUGAUUGAUCAGAAGGACUUGAACAGGGGUUUGGAGUAAAAAGCAUUUGGAUUGAAUUACAACCUUGGAACCUUUCAGGCAAACCCAUCGUCGAACCAUUGUAACUUCUGCCCCAGUUUCAACUUUUGGGGGAAUUUGGAUUUUUAUUUUGGUGUGAAUGAACCCCAGAGUGAGGUUGCCUAUGUAUCCUUUCAGAAUCAAGUCGAACGUAGUUCAAGGAACUUUAUUUUUUAUUUUCUUUGUUUUUCUCUUUUCUUUUGUGUUUUUUUUUUCUCUUUCUUUUUCCUUUCCUUUUUUUCUUUUUUUUUCUUUCAUUUUUCAUUUCAUUUUCUUUUUAUCUCUUUUUUGUUGUUUUUUUUCAAUAACACUUUCAAGUUCCAAAGAGGGUAAUCAAAGAAAGGUAAUCGGCUCAAAGGGUUUGCAAAGGAUUGAAUAUUUGGAUAGUGAAAAAGAAAGUCAUCUUCAUCCCAACCAGAGAACAUUAUUGUUAUAUAGAGAAUCCAACAUAGUACUUUUUGACUGCACUUGCGUUGACAGUUGUUUCAGGGACAUUUCCUUCGAUGUGUCCCAAGUACAAUGUUCUCUUUUGGUAGUACUCUUGUUGCAAUGUAUGGACCUUUCCAAUCUGGAGCCACUUUUUCUUUAGCUGUUCCGAUUCAUUGUUUUAUUUUCUUAAACUUAUCUUCAUUGCAAUCUAAUUCUUGAUUCAUUAUUUCGAGGUCUGACAGCGUUUUAGGAUCCGGGCAUGAGGUCUGCAAGCAUGUCAUGUUAUUUAAAUCUGCAUUUAAUAGAACUAAAAAGAGAAUAAGAAAAGUGACAAUAAGAAAAGAGACAUUCCUGGGCAAUGAAAUGAAUUUUUUUUAAUUUUAAAGAUAGAAGGGUUUACAUAGGAAAGUAAGACAAUAAAGUAAACCAUCCGGAUCACACCCUGAGAUAAUCCGGACGCAGAAAGGAUCGCAAGACUGGCUACCGAGACUCCCGUCUGAUAGGAAAUUUUCAAGUUUGGCGACCGUUUUUUAGUUUUUCUUCUUCUCGGCAAUGGCCUUCAGUGCCGGAUCAAAUUCCUUAUCUUCACAAAUCAUUCUGACUACUGGCCCAUUGUUGUGAGCUGGCAAGGGAUUGUUCGUCACAUCUGGAGCCUCCUCGUCCUGAAAAAUGAUUCUUUCGGCUUCAAUCAAAUUUUUAAUUGCCCUCUUGAGGGUCCAACAGUCCUCUGUACUAUGUCCCACUACUCCAGAGUGGUAUUCACAUCUAGCAUCAGCUCGGUGCGAGGGGGACUCGAGGUUCGGCCGGUUCGGGGCCACUGGCUGCAGCAGACCUAGCCUGAUUUGCUUUUCGAACAAGCUUGAAUAUGAUUCACCAAUAUGGGUGAACUGAUUCUUUCUGAAAGGCUCUCUUGGGCGAGGAUUGUACUGGGGGACAUUUGGUUGGGAUUAUAUGGAGCUUGGUAAGGAUGGGCAUUUCUGGAAGGUGGAGCUCAUUUUUGUGUAUAAUGAUGUGACCGCAUGUAAGGUUGCGCGCUCAUCACCACGUAGGGAGGCGGUGCAACAACAUAAGCAGCAUCUUGAAAGGGAUAAUAGUAUGGUAGGACCGAGACCAUAGGAAUCAUGUCUUUGGUUCUUGUGAAGUAAGGAUGAAAAGUGAGAUUACCAACAAAACCAACCACCUGAACAGAACCUGGCUAAUUUGCACACCCAACAACCUUGUUAGUUUUGAAAUGCUUAACAGAUAGGAAAUCGCACGUUUGGAUGCAAUGCACCUAAACAGUUAAACGUUUCUACCAUGUGUUUGAACGAUUGCUUGUUUCAUCCCGGCCUUAACUAACCUUUUUCACUCUGUACCUCUUUUCUUUCAUUUCUGUCUCUCUUUAAUCACUCUUGAUUUUCUCAUCUUGUUUCUGUCACUUUUAUUUUUGGCACUCUCUUUUUCUCUUUUUGUUUUUGUUACUCUUUUGUUUAUUACUAUUUUUUCGCUCUUUUUUCCUUUUAUUUUUGUCACUCUUUUCUUUCUUUUUCACUCAAUUUUUCUUUUCUUUUUUUAGUUUAUUUUUCACUCAAUUUAUUUUAUAGAUAUAAUUGAAUCCGAUGGGGAUUGCCUACGUAUCAUGACGCCGCAUGAAUCAGAUAAUUAGCACAUUAGGCCCACAAACACAGUAAGAAGACAAUUUAUACAGUUUAAAUGAUAUCAAAGCGGUAGCGGCAAUUAGCACAUUAGGCACACAAACACAGUAAUAUCAAAAAUCAAGAAAGCUAAGUAUAGAUCACAUUACAAGCUCGAAUUCUGAAUCUUGAACCAGAGAUUCUGGGUUCUUAUUCCCCAGCAGAGUAGCUAGAGCUGCCACACCUCCUUUUUUCCGAGGAGGAUAGGGAGUUUUUCCAAUUUAAGUGACAUUAUUCGGAUUAGGAUUAUUUAUUUUAUUUUAGAGUCGCCACUUGAGAUAAUUUAUGGAUCCAAGUCACCGGUUUAUUUUAAAUCCCAAAUCGAUAAUAUUUGACUCUGUUUAAAGGCUGUGAAACCAGAAGACCUGGUAAGGAAUUCUGUUAACCACUUUUAUCAUCUACCACUUUUAAUUAUGAUGUUUAUGGAUUUAAUCUUGAAACGGAUAACAUGUGUGUAAACCCGCUUAAUUUGGGGUGCUUAAAUCACGUCAUGCAUACGUGUACACAAUUAAUCACAUUUUAUUAGUUUGGGAUUGUUUGGCCAAAGUUGCGCGAGCGCAUACUUUGAUUUAUUUUUGGGAAUCGUAACCAUAUCACGCGAACAUGUACACAAUCACGAUGAUUUGAUUAAUUAGAGUGUGCCUAAAAGCAUACUAACAUAUUGAUUUUGAAGUUAUGAGGCAUUUUUCUUAUUAUGGAAAACUUGACCAAAUUUAUUCAAAGAAUGGGCCUUCUGAAUUUGGAAAUUCGGUCCAUUUAUUAGAAGAACGUUUCAUAAAAAAGAAAGCUAUUCUCAAGCCCACUUCUCAAUUAGUGAUUUAACCAAACAAAAACUUAUGAGUCAAAACUCUUUAACUAUUAUUAAUAAACAAACAACGACCCACAUUAUCAAUCAAUAACCCAAAUUAUCAUUUAAUAUACAACAAAAUCAAAUGGCUCAAUUCCAGCAUAACUACUGUAUUUGUUUUUUUUAUUUAACAAAUAAAAGAAGAGAUCAAACCAUGAAUAUUUAAGACAUUUUUCUAACAAACAUGCUGAAUAUCCCAACUCAUAAAAAUGGCAACAUGUCAAAACAAAGAAGAAAUCAGAAUAUACACAAACAUAGUAAUGUGGUCACGUUUAGUUCAAUCUUGACAGGAGCUAGCAGAAUAAAGCAAUAUUGAAGAUUCACACUUAACAAUAAAAAACGGACCUUAGUGAAACUUGACUCGCCGACUCGGCCACAAAACUAGAAAUCACAGACGAGUAAAAUUGACGGAGCUCAUCAAAAUUUCAGCGAAACAGCAACAGCAGUAGCGAAUAACGAAAUUUCAAACCAAUUUCUCUUCCCUCGAACUCCUAUUUCACUUUGGUUUUUUUGAAAGUUUUCAUUCCCAAAUCUGACUUUGCAAGAAAAAUUAUAUUAUUUUUAACUUUAGAGGGUGGCGGCUAAGUGAAGAAGUGUAGGGCUAUUAGGGUUUUUCAAUUUUGGGGAAGGUUCUUAUUUUUUCUGGUGUGUGUGUAUUAGUGAUGAAGGUGAGAGUUGAGAGUCGCCGUUUUUGGAAUUUUUAGGAAGGAGGAUGAGUUUUUUUUUGUUGAAGAAGAGAGGAGAAUGGAGCCGUUGUUAGUGUUUUUAGGGAGGGGUUCUUUUUUCUAUGGGAAUUGGAGGAGAUGGGGAUAACGGCUGAAGCUCUCAAAUGGGGAGAGGAUUUCAUUGCAGCAAUAGAGGAAAAAGAAAAAAAGGGGUGCCGUUGGUGUAGGGAAGUCCAAUUAUUGCCUUUUUUUUUUGGUGGGGGGAUCAUUUUUGUUCUCUUGAAGGGAAGGGGAUCCAAAAUUAGGUCUAGGAUUUUUUGUGGGAAGGGGCUAAUAAGGAAGGGGGAAUCCGAUUAGGCUUGGGAUUUUG